CCUACGGGAGGCAGCAGUGGGGAAUAUUGGACAAUGGGGGGAACCCUGAUCCAGCCAUGCCGCGUGUGUGAAGAAGGCCCUCGGGUUGUAAAGCACUUUCAGUGAGGAAGAACGCCUGGUGGUUAAUACCCAUCAGGAAAGACAUCACUCACAGAAGAAGCACCGGCUAACUCCGUGCCAGCAGCCGCGGUAAUACGGAGGGUGCGAGCGUUAAUCGGAAUUACUGGGCGUAAAGCGCGCGUAGGUGGCUUGAUAAGCCGGUUGUGAAAGCCCCGGGCUCAACCUGGGAACGGCAUCCGGAACUGUUAAGCUAGAGUGCAGGAGAGGAAGGUAGAAUUCCCGGUGUAGCGGUGAAAUGCGUAGAGAUCGGGAGGAAUACCAGUGGCGAAGGCGGCCUUCUGGACUGACACUGACACUGAGGUGCGAAAGCGUGGGUAGCAAACAGGAUUAGAUACCCGUGUAGUC
rnacentral:rRNA from 1 species